rnacentral:rRNA from 1 species
UACGUAGGGGGCUAGCGUUGUCCGGAUUUAUUGGGCGUAAAGAGCGUGUAGGCGGCCAGGUAGGUCCGUUGUGAAAACUCGAGGCUCAACCUCGAGACGGCGGCGGAAACCAUCUGGCUAGAGUCCGGAAGAGGAGAGUGGAAUUCCUGGUGUAGCGGUGAAAUGCGCAGAUAUCAGGAAGAACACCCGUGGCGAAGGCGGCUCUCUGGGACGGUACUGACGCUGAGACGCGAAAGCGUGGGGAGCAAACAGG